rnacentral:rRNA from 1 species
CGUAGGUCCCGGCGUUAUCCGGAUUAUUGGGCGUAAAGCGAGCGCAGGCGGUUAGAUAAGUCUGAAGUUAAAGGCUGUGGCUUAACCAUAGUACGCUUUGGAAACUGUUUAACUUGAGUGCAAGAGGGGAGAGUGGAAUUUCCAUGUGUAGCGGUGAAAUGCGUAGAUAUAUGGAGGAACACCGGUGGCGAAAAGCGGCUCUCUGGCUUGUAACUGACGCUGAGGCUCGAAAAGCGUGGGAGCAAACAGGAUU